GACGAACGCUGGCGGCGUGCUUAACACAUGCAAGUCGAACGGAAAGGCCCUGCUUUUGUGGGGUGCUCGAGUGGCGAACGGGUGAGUAACACGUGUGUAUCCUGCCCUUGACUUUCGGAUAACUUCAGGGAACUGGGGCUAAUACCGGAUAGGAGCUCCUGCUGCGUGGUGGGCGUUGGAAAGUUUCGGCGUUUGGGGAUGGACUCGCGGCUUAUCAGCUUGUUGGUGGGGUAGUGGAUUACCAAGGGUUUGACGGGUAGGCCGCCUGAGAGGGUGACCGGCCACAUUGGUACUGAGAUACGCACCAGACGCGUAUGGUAGGCAGCAGUGGGGAGUAUUACACAACGGGCGCAAGCCUGAGACAGCAACGCCCGGUUCGGGAUGACCGCCUUCGGGUUAUGAACCGCUGUCGACUGAGACGAAGCGUGAGUGACGGUACUGAAUAAAGAAGCACCGGCUAACUACGUG
rnacentral:rRNA from 1 species